ACAGUGCUGGGGACGCAGUAAAUGCUCAAGGAAUGAUGAUUAUGAAUACACCUAUUAAAUAUAUGCCAGUAAAAGUAGCCAAGCUGGAGCCCAAAGCCAG
rnacentral:sRNA from 1 species